rnacentral:rRNA from 1 species
AGAGUUUGAUCAUGGCUCAGAACGUACGCUGGCGGCACGCCUAACACAUGCAAGUCGAACGCAGUAGCAAUACUGAGUGGCAAACGGGUGAGUAUAAUGUGGGAAUCUGCCUUUUGGUUUGGAAUAACACGGGGAAACUUGUGCUAAUACCGAAUAAGCCCUUACGGGGAAAGUUUUAACGCCGAAAGAUGAGCCCGCACUUGAUUAGCUAGUUGGUAAGGUAAAAGCUUACCAAGGCAACGAUCAAUAGCUGUUCUUAGAGGAAGACCAGCCACAUUGGGACUGAGACACGGCCCAGACUCCUACGGGAGGCAGCAGUGGGGAAUCUUGCACAAUGGGGGAAACCCUGAUGCAGCGAUGCCGCGUGAGUGAAGAAGGCCUUUGGGUUGUAAAACUCUUUCGUCGGGGAAGAAAAUGACUGUACCCGAAUAAGAAGGUCCGGCUAACUUCGUGCCAGCAGCCGCGGUAAUACGAAGGGACCUAGCGUAGUUCGGAAUUACUGGGCUUAAAGAGUUCGUAGGUGGUUAAAAAAGUUGAUGGUGAAAUCCCAAGGCUCAACCUUGGAACUGCCAUCAAAACUUUUUAGCUAGAGUGUGAUAGAGGUAAGUGGAAUUUCUAGUGUAGAGGUGAAAUUCGUAGAUAUUAGAAAGAACACCAAAUGCGAAGGCAACUUACUGGGUCACUACUGACACUGAGGAGCGAAAGCAUGGGUAGCGAAGAGGAUUAGAUACCCUCGUAGUCCAUGCCGUAAACG